UCUUGUGCAUGUAAACAAGAUUGUGCUCACGUCUCCACUGUUUUGUGUGUGUUGUACCCAAUGUAGGUUUGUGAGCUUGACAUCAUUUUUAACUUUGAGAAAGCUUACUUUAUCCUGGACGAGUUUCUUAUGGGGGGAGAAAUUCAGGACACAUCCAAGAAGAGCGUGCUGAAGGCCAUCGAGCAAGCCGACCUUCUACAAGAGGAGGAUGAGUCACCCAGGAGCGUCCUAGAGGAGAUGGGGCUGGCCUAGUACUAGUUUCAAAUGCAGUCAAGACAGAUGGUAAAUUUUGGUACUACUGCGACAUGUGGGUUUAUGUGAAGGGGAGUUUGUGAAUGGGUCCAAAGCGUGGGAGGAGAACAGGGGAAUAAAAGAGGGUAGGUGGGGUUAAUUUUGGUACUACUGAGAUCAGCAUGUGAUUGUAUUUCAAUUCCGACCUUUUUUUGUCUUUUACAUUUUAAAAUGGCUGCCUAGCUGGGAUCUCAUCUUUCUUAAGAGACACUGUAGAAAGAGAGUUGCGGAUAGACACUCAAAUUUAGCAAUCAGAAACAUAUUUAGAAAAAGGAGUUGAGCCUUGCCAUUUUAACAACAGGUCAUGCAAUCUCAGCUUUUAGUUUUAUUUCAAAGAAUGAUUUAUUGUUACAUUGAUCAAGUGACCUGCUUUGGAAAAACCUCAAAUUGAAUCCAAUGCCAUUACUAUACAUCUACUGUAGCUGCUCAGGAAACAAUGACAUUGACCAUCCAGCCAUGUUUAUUUGUGUGAGAUGCAAAUAUUUGUACUUGUACCACUUUAAAAUGAAGUGCUAUUGCAGCAUAUGGACCAUAAGUAAAUCUACUAAUGUUUUUUUUUUAUAAUGGAUCGAUUUUGAAGAUAUAUUCACCAAACAGGAGGAAUAUUUAAUAGACCUUUUUAAAUGGCUACAAUACUGAAUUGACUAUAUUCAGUAUUCAUUUCUAUUCAUUUUGUUUUGUCCUUUGAGCCACAGUAGUAAAACGUCUGAAUGUGUAUUACUUCGAGAACAGGGCACUGAAUCUCAACCACAAAAUGGCGUGAAAGCUCUUUCCUGUUUGUCUUGGUCUACAUCCUGCUUUUCAAAGACGUGUUUCUGACUGUAAGCGUGGCGUUUGAGUUAUAAUAAGUAAGGGAGUAUUUGUAGCUUGUUUCAGAUAACAAAAGAGGGCUUUGCUAUUAGGUGUGAUGUAUUUACAUGGCUUUUUAAACGUGGUGUGAAAUAAGGGAAUAUUUUGAGAUUAACUGUUUCUUUUUUUUUUUUUUAAAGCAAUUGAAUAAUUCAGCAUGAAGACAUGUUUUUACCUGUGUAAAAUCUGUCAGGUAACCAAAACAGAAUUAUGUGUGAAUGUAAUUUUAUAAAUAAUAAAAACACAAUUUUAGCCUAAA